rnacentral:rRNA from 1 species
AUUGAACGCUGGCGGCAUGCCUUACACAUGCGAGUCGAACGGUAACGGGCCUUCGGGUGCCGACGAGUGGCGCACGGGUGAGUAAUACAUCGGAACGUGCCCGAUCGUGGGGGAUAACGAGGCGAAAGCUUUGCUAAUACCGCAUACGAUCUACGGAUGAAAGCAGGGGACCGCAAGGCCUUGCGCGGACGGAGCGGCCGAUGGCAGAUUAGGUAGUUGGUGGGAUAAAAGCUUACCAAGCCGACGAUCUGUAGCUGGUCUGAGAGGAUGAUCAGCCACACUGGGACUGAGACGCGGCCCAGACUCCUACGGGAGGCAGCAGUGGGGAAUUUUGGACAAUGGGCGCAAGCCUGAUCCAGCCAUGCCGCGUGCAGGAUGAAGGCCUUCGGGUUGUAAACUGCUUUUGUACGGAACGAAAAGCCUUCUUUUAAUACAGGAGGGUCAUGACGGUACCGUAAGAAUAAGCACCGGCUAACUACGUG